UAGCUCUUUAUUCAGUAUAGACAUAUAUGGACAGAAAUACUAGGCCAUAAAUAAAGAAUAGAGGUAAUGAACUGAAGAGAAGAGUUAGUUAAUAUUUGUCCUCUUUUUGUGAAUGGAUCUCUUCAAUAACUCAACGUGGUCACAUUCUUUCAUGCAGCAAAGAGUUGUAGGUCUUCCACAGUAUGCCAUCUUAAAUUCUUUUUCACCACAUUUAUUUUUACAUUGACUACCAAGUUUUAUGCAUGCAUCCCACCAAUUAAAGACAGUAUAGUGUUCUUUACUUCUAGCUGAAAGAAGACAAGAAUGGAUGGAAUUAAAAAUUCAGCAUGGAGUUAUUUCUGAGAUCAUAAGUAUUCCAUGGCUUAUUAUAGCAGAUUGGAGAAGAAGCAGCUGAAAUUGUUCCUCAAAUCCCACAGGAAGCACCAAAGGUAGGAAAGAUACAAAGAAUUUUAAAUCACAGAUAACUGGAUAGUUUAGGAAUGCUUGGAUUCAUUGAUCACUAUUCUGGGAUCAUGUUGUAGUUAUUCCAGAUAUUUAGGAAACAUAAAGAAAGACCUUGUCACUGCCUUGAGAAACUCAAAUUAUUUUUGAAAAGACAAGCCAAGAAACAUAUGACAAAUCAAUAAGGUAAAUGUCAUAAAAGUUGUAUU